ACAACUAAGGUGCAUUUGUUGGAGACUCUAUAUGCUACGCUCUGAAUCCAGCAUCUAAAUUGGGCAUGUGAUGGCCGCACACUCUUUAGGACAAGAUCUUAAAAAACUAUACCAGGCCUAUCUUUUUCUUAGUUCAUCAAUCCAACUGAGGUAGCAGUGAAAAUAAAUCCAAUAAAUUUUAUUCAUUAAUAUCUCAUAAUAAUCA
rnacentral:lncRNA from 1 species